rnacentral:rRNA from 1 species
CCUACGGGAGGCUGCAGUAGGGAAUUUUUCACAAUGGGCGAAAGCCUGAUGGAGCAACGCCGCGUGCAGGAUGAAGGCCUUCGGGUUGUAAACUGCUUUUAUAAGCGAGAAAUAUGAUGGUAACUUAUGAAUAAGGAUCGGCUAACUACGUGCCAGCAGCCGCGGUCAUACGUAGGAUCCGAGCAUUAUCCGGAGUGACUGGGUGUAAAGAGUUGCGUAGGUGGCAUAAUAAGUAGCUAGUGAAAUCUGGUGGCUCAACCAUUCAGACUAUUAGCUAAACUGUUAAGCUCGAGACCGUUAGAGGUAACUGGAAUUUCUAGUGUAGGAGUGAAAUCCGUAGAUAUUAGAAGGAACACCAAUAGCAUAGGCAGGUUGCUGGGACGGUUCUGACACUAAGGCACGAAAGCGUAGGGAGCAAACGGGAUUAGAUACCCUUGUAGUC